CGUCUGGUAGCAGGGUGACUUCAUCAAUCAAGGUAUAAACUCGAUUUCAAAUCUAAUGGUAUUUGGUCAAUGUAGCAAUGAGUCAACUCAGUGAGUUUUUAGCAAAGAUUUGAGUUUGACUUAAAUUCUAAUUUUAGUCAUUUGUCCAACAUGUAAUUAUUAUUCUGUGGCUUUCUAGCCUUGUUUGGAUUGAGUCAAUUGGGUCAAAUCGGGCCGAGUUCAGUUGAUCAAGUGUAAAUCAAGAAGUAUCGGCAUGUUCAAGUUCGACAUGUUGAGCUGAGUUUGGACCGAAUUAGGAGUUGAGUUGAAUCAAUUCAAGCUAGUGAAGUUAAAUCGAGUGAUUUGGACUUUUUAGUGAUCGUUAGUCUUGUAAGAAGAGAAUUCAUAUCCUAAGUUGAUGCAGGUUAUGUAGAUGAUGCACCGAUCGACAUUGGUGUGGGGCAUGGAGAGCUAAAUAAUCUUACGACUCCAUAUCCUAGUUUUCUUUCAUUAUUAUUUUAUUUCAUUUUUUAUAUUUGAGUCGUUACUUCGUAUAAGUCCUAUGGGCAACCAUUUGUAUAAGUUGAGAUAUAUUUUAGACAC